AUACGGAGGGUGCAAGCGUUAUGCGGAAUCACUGGGCGUAAAGGACGCGUAGGCGGGUUGGCAAGUCAGAUGUGAAAUCCUACAGCUUGACUGUAGAACUGCAUUUGAAACUGCUAACCUAGAGUAUGGGAGGGGGAGAUGGAAUUAGUGGUGUAGGGGUAAAAUCCGUAGAUAUCACUAGGAAUACCGAAAGCGAAGGCGAUCUCCUGGAACAUAACUGACGCUAAGGCGUGAAAGCGUGGGGAGCAAACAGGAUUAGAUACCCUAGUAGUCC
rnacentral:rRNA from 1 species